rnacentral:misc_RNA from 1 species
AAGAUAAGUGAAAUAUCAAACAUUUCUUUAUUUUGCACAAAGGAUUAACAUCAUCAUUAUCCCAAUCCCCUAAUUACCAUUUUAAUUCAUGAAAGAGCAUAAGAUUAAAUCUGUUUACCCUCAUUGAGGGACGAGGCGGGGUGCCUAAUAACUUCCCCGCCCGUAUAUGGAUCCCGAACCUAGAAUCUCUGUUUUCGAAGUGAUUUCAUUUAAAUUUAUUUUCAUGAAUGGUUUCUUUAAUUUCCCUCAAAAUUA